UGCGUCGCUGGCGCCGCUGCCGCUCCCACGCUGGUCCCCGCGGCCGCGCCCGCCCCAGCCACCGCCCAGGCGACCGUCGUCAGGGCGACCAUGUUUCCUCACCAAGUCGCUCCGGGGGCAGAGACCAGGCGGGUCUGGGGGUUUGCGCCCGAGCAACUCCCCCGGGUCUCCGCAAACAGAUUUGGACAGCAAAUUGCCUUUCUGCAGUUGUGUUAUGGCUACCAUUGCAAUUAAGAAAUGGAAAAUGAACUUCUGAGAUCCAAUGCAGUCGGCUUUCAUCAGCCUCAGAACCAUGUAUGGAAAGAAAACAAAAUACAGAUGUAAGAGGAUGGCAAAAAGAGAAAACCCAGCAAAAGCACUCAGAAGUGGUGCAAGAACCCUGGGUGAAAACCAACUUUGGGAAAAUAGCAGCGGAAGACAUCUGCCAUCCGUGAACAGGCAGUGGUUUAGUUGGCUUCAUACCUGUGUUCCCUCAUUUAUUUUGAGUAAAGAAAAAAAUCAGUAUUUCUCUUUUGUGAAAUGUUUGGGAAUUAGAAAAAAAUGUUUGUUGAAGUAUAAGAAGAAAAAUGCUGGGGCCGGGGGUUUAGCUCAGUGGUUUCGCCGCCUGCUCCACAAGCGCAAGGACGCAAGUUCAAUCCCCGGUACCAAAAAAACCAAAAAACCAAAAAAAAGAAAAGUGCUUCAGGAAUUGUGCCAGGCAUUCUUAAU
ensembl:lncRNA